GAGUUUGAUCGUGGCUCAGGAUGAACGCUGGCGGCGUGCCUAAUACAUGCAAGUCGAGCGAACGGACGAGAAGCUUGCUUCUCUGAUGUUAGCGGCGGACGGGUGAGUAGCACGUGGAUAACCUACCUAUAAGACUGGGAUAACUUCGGGAAACCGGAGCUAAUACCGGAUAAUAUUUUGAACCGCAUGGUUCAAAAGUGAAAGACGGUCUUGCUGUCACUUAUAGAUGGAUCCGCGCUGCAUUAGCUAGUUGGUAAGGUAACGGCUUACCAAGGCAACGAUGCAUAGCCGACCUGAGAGGGUGAUCGGCCACACUGGAACUGAGACACGGUCCAGACUCCUACGGGAGGCAGCAGUAGGGAAUCUUCCGCAAUGGGCGAAAGCCUGACGGAGCAACGCCGCGUGAGUGACGAAGGUCUUCGGAUCGUAAAACUCUGUUAUUAGGGAAGAACAUAUGUGUAAGUAACCGUGCACAUCUUGACGGUACCUAAUCAGAAAGCCACGGCUAACUACGUG
rnacentral:rRNA from 1 species